rnacentral:lncRNA from 1 species
GCUCCAUCUUUGACUGUACUAGCUUUACUCCUAUUGUGAUUCUGUUGUUGAUCACCGUUGCUAGGGACACUAUCCACACAAUUGGACUGGAGUUUGAUUUUGACGUCAGCCAGCGGGAUCAUGUCCUAUUAGAACCUAAUCUUCAAAGAUUCUUUCUGGAGUGUGUCUUCUGUGGUUAUGGUGUUUAAAUGGAUACCGUGGAUAUGUAUCUUCUGGGUUAAAUGUUAAGUUAACACAGACAUGAAGCAGACAGACAUUGUCAAGGGGAAUAGAUAUGAGGACCAUGCCUCAGGACUACCUGGCUUGAUGACUCCUUGCUGUCCCCAGUUCACCUGGCCGUGCUGCUGCUCCAGUUCCAACUGUUCUGCCUGCAGCUAUGGAACCCUGACCUGUUCACCGGACGUGCUACCUGUCCCAGACCUGUUGUCCCAGACCUGCUGGAACCCUGACCUAUUCACCGGACGUGCUACCUGUCCCAGACCUGCUGUUUUCAACUCUCUAGAGACAGCAGGAGUGGUAGAGAUACUCUCAAAGAUCGGCUAUGAAAAAGCCAACUGACACUUACUCUUGUGUUACUGACUUGUUGCACCCUCGACAACUACUAUGAUUAUUAUUAUUUGACAAUGCUGGUAAUUUAUGAACAUUUGAACAUCUAGGCCAUGUGCUGUUAUAAUCUCC